AGGGUAAUAGCCCAGUGGUAGAGCACAUGCUUAGCAUGCACAAGGUCCUGGGUUCAGUCCCCAGUACCUCCA
rnacentral:tRNA from 1 species